CGCUAAGUAUUUAAAGGGGGGUGCGCCGGGGGAUUGGAUUCAUUCAGAUUUUCAAUUCUUCCUUUCUUUCUAAUAUCCUCUCCCUAUUGUCCAAUUAGUCUUUUUCUUCUCUUAUUAGGACAAGUCUAAAAAUAGUAAGGACAAGUCUGAUUUUAGGACAAGAGUCUAGGAAGAGAAUUAAGGAAGACAAGGAGAGAAGAAAGGUAGGGAUAGGAA
rnacentral:lncRNA from 1 species